rnacentral:rRNA from 1 species
UACGAAGGGGGCUAGCGUUGCUCGGAAUCACUGGGCGUAAAGGGUGCGUAGGCGGGUCUUUUAAGUCAGGGGUGAAAUCCUGGAGCUCAACUCCAGAACUGCCUUUGAUACUGAAGAUCUUGAGUUCGGGAGAGGUGAGUGGAACUGCGAGUGUAGAGGUGAAAUUCGUAGAUAUUCGCAAGAACACCAGUGGCGAAGGCGGUCACUGGCC